AACAAGGAUUCCCCUAGUAACGGCGAGUGAAGCGGGAAGAGCUCAAAUUUGAAAUCUGGCAGCCUUUGGUUGUCCGAGUUGUAAUCUAUAGAAACGUUUUCCGCGUUGGCCCAUGUACAAGUCUGCUGGAAUGCAGCGUCAUAGAGGGUGAGAAUCCCGUCCUUGACAUGGACUACCAGUGCUUUGUGAUACGUUUUCAACGAGUCGAGUUGUUUGGGAAUGCAGCUCAAAAUGGGUGGUAAAUUCCAUCUAAAGCUAAAUAUUGGCGAGAGACCGAUAGCGAACAAGUACCGUGAGGGAAAGAUGAAAAGCACUUUGGAAAGAGAGUUAAACAGUAUGUGAAAUUGUUGAAAGGGAAACGAUUGAAGUCAGUCGUGGGUCUCGCAUUCAGCUGGUUCUGCCAGUGUACUUGCUUGACCCGGGGUCAACAUCGGUUUUGACCGUCGGAAAAGGUUGUGGGGAAUGUAGCACCCUCGGGUGAACUUAUAGCCCUGUAGCGUAUACGAUGGUUGGGACCGAGGAA
rnacentral:rRNA from 1 species